UGGGUUCGAUAUUCAAACAGUCGAGGGGCUCUUUAAUAAAAUCGACACCGAAAGGUUAUCUUCUAAUCCUGAGCGCUGAUCUUGAAUCGGACGGCUGAGAAGGGUUGGGGAGGUUCUGGCCGGCCGGCGGCGAGUCCAGACGGCGGCGCCAUGGCCGGACUUGCGUUCUCCUCACCGGAGUUAGGAGAUCCGGUGAUUUCGGGCAUGAUUCAAGAAACUAAUCACACCGGGAGCA
rnacentral:lncRNA from 1 species